rnacentral:rRNA from 1 species
UCCUGGCUCGAGGGCGAACGCUGGCGGCGUGCCUAACACAUGCAAGUCGAGCGGGGGCUGUACGACGGAUUUGAAGAUUCGGUUGGAUAGGAAGAUGUACAGUUCUAGCGGCGGACGGGUGAGUAACGCGUGAGCAACCUGUCCCUUACAGGGGGAUAACACAGCGAAAGUUGUACUAAUACCGCAUAAGACCACGGAUUCACAUGGAUCAGGGGUCAAAGGAGCAAUCCGGUAAGGGGUGGGCUCGCGUCCGAUUAGAUAGUUGGUGAGGUAACGGCCCACCAAGUCGACGAUCGGUAGCCGACCUGAGAGGGUGAUCGGCCACAUUGGGACUGAGACACGGCCCAAACUCCUACGGGAGGCAGCAGUGGGGAAUAUUGGGCAAUGGGGGGAACCCUGACCCAAGCAACGCCGCGUGAGGGAAGAAGGUUUUCGGAUCGUAAACCUCUGUCCUAUGUGAAGAGGAAGAGACGGUAGCAUAGGAGGAAGCCCCGGCUAACUACGUGCCAGCAGCAGC